rnacentral:rRNA from 1 species
GAUGAACGCUAGCGGCAGGCUUAACACAUGCAAGUCGAGGGGUAGAAAUAGCUUGCUAUUUUGAGACCGGCGCACGGGUGCGUAACGCGUAUGCAAUCUGCCUUGUACUGGGGAAUAGCCCGGAGAAAUCCGGAUUAAUGCCCCAUGGUAUUUUUGUGUGGCAUCACACGAUUAUUAAAGAUUUAUCGGUACAAGAUGAGCAUGCAUCCCAUUAGUUAGUUGGUGUGGUAACGGCACACCAAGACGAUGAUGGGUAGGGGUCCUGAGAGGGAGAUCCCCCACACUGGCACUGAGACACGGACCAGACGCCUACGGGAGGCAGCAGUGAGGAAUAUUGGUCAAUGGGCGCAAGCCUGAACCAGCCAUGCCGCGUGCAGGAUGACGGCCCUAUGGGUUGUAAACUGCUUUUAUACGGGAAGAAACACCCCUUCGUGAAGGGACUUGACGGUACCGUAAGAAUAAGGAUCGGCUAACUACGUGCCAGCCGCCGCGGUAAUAC